rnacentral:rRNA from 1 species
UACGUAGGGUGCAAGCGUUGUCCGGAAUUAUUGGGCGUAAAGAGCUCGUAGGCGGUUUGUUGCGUCGGCUGUGAAAUCCCGAGGCUCAACCUCGGGUCUGCAGUCGAUACGAGCAAACUAGAGUGUUGCAGGGGAGACUGGAAUUCCUGGUGAUAGCGGUGAAAUGCGCAGAUAUCAGGAGGAACACCGGUGGCGAAGGCGGGUCUCUGGGCAACAACUGACGCUGAAGAGCGAAAGCGUGGGGAGCGAACAGG